UACGAAGGGGGCUAGCGUUGCUCGGAAUCACUGGGCGUAAAGAGCUCGUAGGCGGUCGCGAUAGUCGGGUGUGAAAGUCCAGGGCUCAACCCUGGGGAUGCCGGUCGAUACUGCCCGGACUAGAGUUCGGAAGAGGCGAGUGGAAUUCCCCGGUGUAGCGGUGAAAUGCGCAGAUAUCGGGGAGGAACACCUAUGGCGAAGGCAGCUCGCUGGGACGUUACUGACGCUGAGACGCGAAAGCGUGGGGAGCAAACAGG
rnacentral:rRNA from 1 species